UCUGCAUAGGCGAAAGCCUGACAGGGUUACUCUGAGUGGUUCCCGCUAAGGGGAUCUUUUGGCACCUCUAAAAAUGGUGCAGAAUAAGGGGUGGGCAAGCCUGGUGUCAGCCGCCGCGGUAAUACCAGCACCCCGAGUGGUCGGGACGAUUAUUGGGCCUAAAGCAUCCGUAGCCGGUCAUGCAAGUCUUCCGUUAAAUCCAGCCGCUCAACGGUUGGGCUGCGGAGGAUACUACGUGGCUAGGAGGCGGGAGAGGCAAGCGGUACUCAGUGGGUAGGGGUAAAAUCCUUUGAUCCAUUGAAGACCACCAGUGGCGAAGGCGGCUUGCCAGAACGCGCUCGACGGUGAGGGAUGAAAGCUGGGGGAGCAAACCGGAUUAGAUACCCGGGUAGUCCCAGCUGUAAACGAUGCAGACUCGGUGAUGGGAUGGCCUCGAGCUAUCCCAGUGCCGCAGGGAAGCCGUUAAGUCUGCCGCCUGGGGAGUACGGUCGCAAGACUGAAACUUAAA
rnacentral:rRNA from 2 species